CCUACGGGUGGCAGCAGUGAGGAAUAUUGGACAAUGGACGGAAGUCUGAACCAGCCAUGCCGCGUGAAGGAAGACGGCUCUAUGAGUUGUAAACUGCUUUUGUACAAGGGUAAACCUGAAUACGUGUAUUCAGCUGAAAGUACUGUACGAAUAAGGAUCGGCUAACUCAGUGCCAGCAGCCGCGGUAAUACGGAGGAUCCAAGCGUUACCCGGAUUUAUUGGGUUGAAAGGGUGCGUAGGCGGAUUGAUAAGUUAGAGGUGAAAUGUCCGAGCUUAACUCGGGAACUGCCUUUAAUACUGUUAAUCUAGAGAGUAGAUGCGGUAGGCGGAAUGUAUGGUGUAGCGGUGAAAUGCGUAGAGAUCUUACGGAACACCGAUUGCGAAGGCAGCUUACCAAUCAAUAUCUGACGUUGAGGUACGAAAGCGUGGGGAGCAAACAGGAUUAGAUACCCUAGUAGUC
rnacentral:rRNA from 1 species